UACGUAGGGAGCAAGCGUUGUUCGGAUUUACUGGGCGUAAAGGGCGCGUAGGCGGCAUAUUAAGUCAUCUGUGAAAUCUCCGAGCUUAACUCGGAACUGUCAGCUGAUACUGAUGUGCUAGAGUGCGGAAGGGGCAAUCGGAACUCUUGGUGUAGCGGUGAAAUGCGUAGAUAUCAAGAGGAACACCUGAGGUGAAGACGGGUUGCUGGGCCGACACUGACGCUGAGUGCGCGAAAGCCAGGGGAGCAAACGGG
rnacentral:rRNA from 1 species